CAGUCGCCGCGGUAAGACAGAAGAUGCAAGCGUUAUCCGGAAUGAUUGGGCGUAAAGCGUGCGUAGGUGGUGGUUUAAGUCCGUUGUGAAAGCCCUGGGCUCAACCUGGGAAUUGCAGUGGAUACUGGGUCACUAGAGUGUGGUAGAGGAUAGUGGAAUUUCCGGUGUAGCAGUGAAAUGCGUAGAGAUCGGAAGGAACAUCUGUGGCGAAGGCGACUAUCUGGGCCAACACUGACACUGAGGCACGAAAGCGUGGGGAGCAAACAGGAUUAGAUACCCCGGUAGUCCCUGUCUCUUAUAU
rnacentral:rRNA from 1 species